rnacentral:rRNA from 1 species
AUUGAACGCUGGCGGCAGGCCUAACACAUGCAAGUCGAACGAGUGGCGGACGGGUGAGUAAUGUCUGGGAAACUGCCCGAUGGAGGGGGAUAACUACUGGAAACGGUAGCUAAUACCGCAUACCAUCGGAUGUGCCCAGAUGGGAUUCGAUAGUAGGUGGGGUAAAGGCGAACCUAGGCGCCGAUCCCUAGCUGGUCUGAGAGGCUGACCAGCCACACUGUAACUGAGACACGGGCCAGCCUCCUACGGGAGGCAGCAGUGGGGAAUAUUGCACAAUGGGCGCCAGCCUGCUGCAGCCAUGCCGCGUGUAUGAAGAAGGCCUUCGGGUUGUAAAGUACUUUCAGCGAGGAGGCGUUACUCGCAGAAGAAGCACCGGCUAACUCCGUGCCAGCCGCCGCGGUAAUUC